GUCCCUUCGGGGAUAUCCGAUAAAAUUGGAACGAUACAGAGAAGAUUAGCAUGGCCCCUGCGCUAGGAUGACACGCACAAAUCGAGAAAUGGUCAAAAUAUUU
rnacentral:snRNA from 2 species